AUGAGUUAAGUAUAAACCCCUUAACAAGUAUCAAUUGGAGGGCAAGUCUGGUGCCAGCAGCCGCGGUAAUUCCAGCUCCAAUAGCGUAUAUUAAAGUUGUUGCAGUUAAAAAGCUCGUAGUUGGAUUUCUGUUAAUACUUGCAUGUGCUAUCUUCGAUACGCGUGUAAUAUUAGCAUCAUCCGCGUCACCUUUGGUGUGCGGAACUUUACUUUGAGAAAAUUAGAGUGCUUAAAGCAGGCUUUUGCCUUGAAUACUCCAGCAUGGAAUAAUAUGAAGGAUUUUUAUCUUUCUUAUUGGUUCUAAGAUAAAAAUAAUGGUUAAUAGGGACAGUUGGGGGCAUUUGUAUUUAACAGUCAGAGGUGAAAUUCUUAGAUUUGUUAAAGACAAACUAGUGCGAAAGCAUUUGCCAAGGAUGUUCUCAUUAAUCAAGAACGAAAGUUAGGGGAUCGAAGACGAUCAGAUACCGUCGUAGU
rnacentral:rRNA from 1 species